GUCCGAGCGUAAUGGCAUCGAGAAAAUCACGGUCCGCUCUCGUUUCCUAGCUUUGCGGGCUGGCUGCCACUGCUUCCAGGGCGAUCGCGACGAUGCUGUCGGCAAAGCCCGUGUCGAGUGGGCGAUGCCCGACGAGCA
rnacentral:sRNA from 1 species